GGUUCCGUAGUGUAGGGUUUUUCACGUUCGCUUCACACGCGAAAAAGGGCCCGGGUUUGAUCCCGGGCGGAACCA